rnacentral:rRNA from 1 species
UCAAGUGCAAUUUCCAUUACACUUACCUUGUUACGACUUAUCUCUUUUAUAAAAGAGAGCGACGGGCGGUGUGUACACAAGUUAGUGCUCUUAUCAAGUUAUUUUUAACUUUACAAUUAAAUCCACCUUCAAGCAGUUUUUCAUUCUGCUUUUCGUAUUUCUCUURAAAUUGUAACCCACCUCUAUCUUUCUUAUAAGCUGCACCUUUACUUGAAGUCAAUGGUAUUUCCAUUAUUGAAAGUUUUCUAUUAAAACUGACUAACAACAGCGGUAUACAAACUGAUUACAAAAGAAAGUGAAGUAAUUCGUGGCUCAUCGUUUACAGGGCAGGUUCCUCUAAAUGGGCUAUCUUGCCGCCAAAUCCGCUAAAUUUCAAAAUUUUUAAUACUCCAAAAUUUUAUGCACGGAAGUAACAGGGUAUCUAAUCCUGGUCCAUAAAUUUCCGACUAGCUAGUUUUUAAUUAUUUAUCAUUCCCUUUUAUUAAAAUUCUACCUAUUAAUAAAAGUAAAGUCAAAACUAAUAACUUAACAAACAAAAUCUUGUAAAAUAAUUUUAACUCAAAGCAUACGUAUAACCGCGGCUGCUGGCACGCUAUUUUCCACUCUUAAGUGAUUUCCUAGAUACAACUUUCAUUUUUGAKCUAAUAUUUUUUACUGAGAAUUU